GUGGGGAAUUUUGGACAAUGGGCGAAAGCCUGAUCCAGCAAUGCCGCGUGCAGGAUGAAGGCCCUCGGGUUGUAAACUGCUUUUGUACGGAACGAAAAGCCUGGGGCUAAUAUCCCCGGGUCAUGACGGUACCGUAAGAAUAAGCACCGGCUAACUACGUGCCAGCAGCCGCGGUAAUACGUAGGGUGCAAGCGUUAAUCGGAAUUACUGGGCGUAAAGCGUGCGCAGGCGGUUUUGUAAGACAGUGGUGAAAUCCCCGGGCUCAACCUGGGAACUGCCAUUGUGACUGCAAGGCUAGAGUGCGGCAGAGGGUGAUGGAAUUCCGCGUGUAGCAGUGAAAUGCGUAGAUAUGCGGAGGAACACCGAUGGCGAAGGCAAUCCCCUGGACCUGUACUGACGCUCAUGCACGAAAGCGUGGGGAGCAAACAGGAUUAGAAACCCCAGUAGUCC
rnacentral:rRNA from 1 species